AUUCAAUUCCAGGAAUGUAUGGCUAACUGUGAUCCUCGUGAAAUCGCCUAUGGUAGUUGUGAAAUUGUUGAUAGUUGAUAUUCAUGUGAAAAUCAUUGUGAAGCUUUCGUGUUGUACAAAUUGUGUGGUAGUACCUUGUGGUGAAUGUUGUGGAACUUGUAAUUGGAACAAUGGAAACGGAAACAAUGUGGAACAAUGGAAAAAUGGAAACAAUGUGGAACACUUGAAAUGGAAAU
rnacentral:lncRNA from 1 species